GAUGAAGAACGUAGCGAAAUGCGAUAAGUAAUGUGAAUUGCAGAAUUCAGUGAAUCAUCGAAUCUUUGAACGCACCUUGCGCUCCUUGGUAUUCCGAGGAGCAUGCCUGUUUGAGUGUCAUUAAAUUCUCAACCUCACCAGUUUUGUAACGAGACAGGUGAAGGCUUGGAUGUGGGGGUUUUGCAGGCUGCCUCAGUGCUGGUCUGUUCUCCUGAAAUGCAUUAGCGAGCUCAUAUUGAGCUUCCGUCUAUUGGUGUGAUAAUUAUCUACGCUGUGGAUUGGACUCAUGCUUGCUUCUAACCGUCCGCAAGGACAAUUUACUUGACCAAUUUGACCUCAAAUCAGGUAGGACUACCCGCUGAACUUAAGCAUAUCAAUAAGCGGAGGA
rnacentral:misc_RNA from 1 species